CUCGUCGCUGGGGAGAGGCUGCGUAUGGCGUUGUGAAGGGAGAGAUGGAGGAGGGGUUUGAGCAGCGCUGUGCAGGAAUGAACGGCUGGCAGGAGUCGGGCAGUGGUACUGCAGCUCCUCUGGCAGCUUUGCAGCUCAGUUGGGAAGCAGAAGAUGUGGAUGUGAAAGAAGACCUCCGUUGCUGGGACGUUCCCCUGUUCUUCCCCCAGCUGUCCCCUUGCCUCAGCCUGGAUUCCCCUUGCAUUCCUGUAGGAUUCCCUUCCAUCCCCCUGGCUGCCCCUUGCUUUGCCCAAGGCUGCCCUUUCCUUUCUCAUGACAGCCCACCCAUCAUUCCCUCAGAGCCCCAAUAUCCCUCCCAGUGUUUCCCAGCAAGACCCCUAGAGACACCCUGUAGCCCCCCACAGAGCCUUGGAGCCCCUCGAGGACCCCUUCACACCCAGUACACCUCUCCCGUAGCUGGCCCAUACCCACAUGGAGCCCCACAGUCCCCAGCAGCACCCCAUGUGCCCCACUGGGCUUCCCCGGAAUCCUCCUAUUUCCUCCCUCAGACCUCCUUUACACCUCCAAGAUCCCCCCUGGGAACUCGCUGACCCCCAUGUUCUUUGACAGUACCCCCAUCACCAUCCAGUGAACCCCAUAGCCCACCUUUGGCCUCUCCUCCCCCUGACCUGCCUCCAGAUCCCGUACAACCUCACAGUGCUGUAGCAUGGAUGGCUUCUGCAGGUGAGGAAUGGGGAGCUGGAGAAGGUGUAAGGCACAGAUGUGGGUGAAACUGAAGUGGUUGGCACUGGGGAUACUGGGGAACACAGAUCAGAACAUGGGAGGAUUUGGGGAGGAUAAGGGGAUGUGGACCACAGCCUACAGGAGCAGAGUGCUUCUCAGGAGGAGGCAAGGUGUGAGUUACAGGUGGGACUUGUGGGUGCGGGGACGUGGGGUGG
ensembl:lncRNA